rnacentral:rRNA from 1 species
CUACACGGGUUUCUAAUCCUGUUUGCUCCCCACGCUUUCGCACCUGAGCGUCAGUGUUGUGCCAGGGGGCCGCCUUCGCCACUGGUAUUCCUCCAAAUCUCUACGCAUUUCACCGCUACACUUGGAAUUCUACCCCCCUCUCACACACUCUAGUUUUCCAGUUUCAAAUGCAAUUCCCAGGUUGAGCCCGGGGCUUUCACAUCUGACUUAAAAAACCGCCUACGUGCGCUUUACGCCCAGUAAUUCCGAUUAACGCUUGCACCCUCUGUAUUACCGCGGCUGCUGGCAC